GAGGAUAUGUCCAGGCCGGUCAAGAGGACCACAUCGGCCAGAGUGGGGGUCAUAGGACCAUGUCCAAAUAAGAACGCAUUAAGUGCGUCAGACCAAAAAUAGGAAGCCGCCAUCACUAGCGGCUCGUUUUUUUCCAUUUGCGACAGGGAAAGGUUGAUGCAUUGGCCGAUUUUGAGCUCAUCCCAUGAGACGCUCCUUGACGCGGCCACCCGUUGGUACCAUUCCCUCCAACCUGGGGUUUCAUUCGGC
rnacentral:lncRNA from 1 species